rnacentral:rRNA from 1 species
CCUACAGGCGGCAGCAGUGAGGAAUAUUGGUCAAUGGGCGAGAGCCUGAACCAGCCAAGUCGCGUGAGGGAGUACUGCCCUAUGGGUUGUAAACCUCUUUUGUCGGGGAGCAAAAGCCGGACGUGUCCGGCUGUGAGAGUACCCGAAGAAAAAGCAUCGGCUAACUCCGUGCCAGCAGCCGCGGUAAUACGGAGGAUGCGAGCGUUAUCCGGAUUUAUUGGGGUUAAAGGUUGCGCAGGCGGAUUUUUAAGUCAGCGGUCAAAUCGUGGGGCUCAACCCCAUCCAGCCGUUGAAACUGGGGAUCUAGAGUGUGCGAGAGGUAUGCGGAAUGCGUGGUGUAGCGGUGAAAUGCAUAGAUAUAACGCAGAACCCCGAUUGCGAAGGCAGCAUACCGGUGCACAACUGACGCUCAGGCACGAAAGCGUGGGUAUCGAACAGGAUUAGAUACCCUAGUAGUC